rnacentral:rRNA from 1 species
ACACGUAAGGAGCAAGCGUUGUCCGGAAUCACUGGGCGUAAAGGGUACGCAGGCGGUCUAGCAAGUCAGAGGUGAAAUCCAUUGGCUUAACCAAUGAAGUGCCUUUGAAACUGUUAGACUUGAGAGUAGGAGAGGAAGAUGGAAUUCCUGGUGUAGUGGUGAAAUACGUAGAUAUCAGGAAGAACACCUAUGGUGAAAGCAGUCUUCUGGCCUAACUCUGACGCUGAGGUACGAAAGCUAGGGUAUCAAACUGGAUUAGAUACCCCGGUAGUCCUAGCUGUAAACGCUGGAUACUAGGUGUUGGGGGUUCAACUCCCUCGGUGCCGUAGUUAACGCUUUAAGUAUCCCGCCUGGGGAAUACGACCGCAAGGUUGAA